ensembl:lncRNA
GGGUGUCCCCGUGUCCCCAGGGAUGGGAAAAGCCACACUGGGGUGUCACCAUGUCCCCAAUGCUGAGGAGGUUUGGGGUGCCUGGGAUUGGGAUGUCCCCAUGUCCCCAGUACUGGGAAAAGCCACCCUGGGAUGUCCCCAUGACCCAAACAUUGGGAAAAGCCACCCUGGGGUGUCACCAUGUCCCCAAAGCUGGGAAAAACCACACUGGGGUGUCACCAUGUCCCAAACAUUGGGAAAAGCCACCUUGGGGUGUCCCCAAAGCUGGGAAAAACCACACUGGGGUGUCCCUGUGUCCCCAGGGCUGGGAAAAGCCACCUGGGGGUGUCACCAUGUCCCAAACAUUGGGAAAAGCCACCAUGGGGUGUCACCAUGUCCCAAACAUUGGGAAAAGCCACCCUGGGGUGUCACCAUGUCCCCAGGGCUGGGAACAACCACCUUGGGGUGUCACCAUGACCCAAACAUUGGGAAAAGCCACUCUGGGAUGUCCCGGUGUCCCCAAAGCUGGAAGAGCCACUUUGGGGUGUCCCCAAUGCUGGGAAGGACCACCUUGGGGUGUCACCAUGUCCCAAACACUGGGAAGAUCCACUUUGGGGUGUCUCCAUGUCCCCAAAAGUGGGGAAAGCCACCUGGGGGUGUCCCCGUGUCCCCAAUGCUGAGGAGGUUUGGGGUGGCUGGGAUUGGGAUGUCCCUGUGUCCCCAAAGCUGGGAAAAGCCACCUUGGGGUGUCACCAUGUCCCAAACAUUGGGAAAAGCCACCCUGGGGUGUCCCUGUGUCCCCAAAGCUGGGAAAAGCCACCUUGGGGUGUCACCAUGUCCCAAACACUGGGAAAAGCCACCUUGGGGUGUCCCCAAUGCUGAGGAGGUUUGGGGUGGCUGGGAUUGGGAUGCCCCAAUGUCCCCAAUACUGGGAAAAGCCACCUUGGGGUGUCACCAUGACCCAAACAUUGGGAAAAGCCACCUGGGGGUGUCCCGAUGUCAUCAACACUGGGAAGGGCCACCCUGGGGUGUCCCCAUGUCCCCAAAGCUGGGAAAAGCCACCCUGGGGUGUCCCCUGUCCCCAACUCUAAUGAGGUUUUUAGGGGUUCUUCUGGAAACCCCUUCUUGUAGGGAAACCCUUUCUUUCGGGCCAAAACCUUUCCUUUUGGGGCCAGAAAUCUUUCUUUUGGGGGCUGGAAACUUUUCCUUUUGGGGACCAGGAACCCUUUGUUGGGGGGCUGGNUUCUUUUGGGGGCUGGAAACUUUUCCUUUUGGGGACCAGGAACCCUUUGUUGGGGGGCUGGAAAUCCUUUUUUUGGGGGUGCUGAAAGCUCCCCCUUUCCUUGUAGGGAAACCCUUUCUUUUGGGGCCAAAACCUUUCCUUUUGGGGUUGGAAACCUUUUCAUUGUGGGCUUGGUGACCCUUUGAUUUUGGGGCCAGAAAGCCAUGGUUUUGGGGCUGGAAACUCUUUCCUUUUGGGGCUGGAAACCCUUUCUUUUAGGGCUGGAAGCUCUUCCUUUUGGGGCGAGAAACCCUCUUUUUGGGAGCCAGAAACUCUUUGUUUUUGGGGCCAGAAACCCUUUUUUGGGAGACCAGAACCCCUUUUUUUGGAAACCAGAACCCCUUUGUUUUUGGGGUCAGAACCCCUUUUUUGGGAGCAGGAAACAAUUCCAGGUUUUCCCCUCAGAGCUCAGCCCCAGGAUCCCACCCAGAGCCCCGUAACCC